rnacentral:rRNA from 1 species
AGAGAGAGACAUGCGCGCAUAUCAAUAAGCGGAGGAAAAGAAACUAACAAGGAUUCCCCUAGUAACGGCGAGUGAAGCGGGAAGAGCUCAAAUUUGAAAUCUUAAAGGGUUUCCCUUUACGAAUUGUAGUUUAAAGAAGUGUUUUCUGUUGAGGGUUUGGUAAAAGUUCUUUGGAACUAGGACAUCAUAGAGGGUGAGAAUCCCGUAUUUGACCUUUACUUUCAACUUUGUGAUACACUUUCAAAGAGUCGGAUUGUUUGGGAAUGCAGUCCAAAAUGGGUGGUAAAUUUCAUCUAAAGCUAAAUAUCGGCGAGAGACCGAUAGCGAACAAGUACCGUGAGGGAAAGAUGAAAAGAACUUUGAAAAGAGAGUUAAACAGUACGUGAAAUUGUCAAAAGGGAAGCGUUUGACACCAGUGUUGUUUUUCUGAAAAUCAAUUAAAGAACUGUUUAUGCUAAGUUGUUUAGACUUUAUCAGCUAACUGUUUAGUUUUGAGCUUUUCUUUAAUGCACUUUUCAGUUAACAAGUCAACAUCAAUUUCUUUUGCUGUAAAAAAGCUUGAGGAAGGUGGCUUGAGAUUCGUCUUAAGUGUUUAUAGCCUCUUGCCUAUGCAGUCGGAGAGAUUGAGGUCUGCAGCGUAGAUCCUUCGGGGCUAAAUGCAUUUGUGCUAAGUUAUAACAUUUUAUAGACAACUUGUUGACUAUGAUUUGUCUUGUAGCUUACUCGCUUAUGUUAUUUUACCUACGCUUAGGAUGUUGACGCAUGAGAUAUACGC